ACCUAUACCCGGCCGUCGG
rnacentral:snRNA from 1 species